rnacentral:rRNA from 1 species
AGUGAACGCUGGCGGUAGGCCUAACACAUGCAAGUCGAACGGCAGCACAGUAAGAGCUUGCUCUUACGGGUGGCGAGUGGCGGACGGGUUAGGAAUACAUCGGAAUCUACUUUUUCGUGGGGGAUAACGUAGGGAAACUUACGCUAAUACCGCAUACGACCUACGGGUGAAAGCAGGGGAUCUUCGGACCUUGCUCGAUUGAAUGAGCCGAUGUCGGAUUAGCUAGUUGGCGGGGUAAAGGCACACCAAGGCGACGAUCCGUAGCUGGUCUGAGAGGAUGAUCAGCCACACUGGAACUGAGACACGGUCCAGACUCCUAAGGGAGGCAGCAGUGGGGAAUAUUGGACAAUGGGCGCAAGCCUGAUCCAGCCAUACCGCGUGGGUGAAGAAGGCCUUCGGGUUGUAAAGCACUUUUGUUGGGAAAGAAAAGCAGCAGGUUAAUACCCCGCUGUUCUGACGGUACCCAAAGAAUAAGCACCGGCUAACUUCGUG